AUGGUGGGAGAUGAUGUGUCAGCCAGCUUCUCCCUUUGUGCAGAACACAUAGGUCUCACCGUGGGUCUGCUGUUUAUCUUCACCCUGGUGUUGAUCACAGUCAUCGUUUUUGCGAAGAGGAUGUCCUCUGCACCGGCACUUAUUGAAGAUGAACAUGACGUGGAUAUUUCAUUCAUCAGUGUUUCCGGUUGUAAACGGGUGGACACAUCACACUUCUUUGCCAACCAACUCUACGUGCCCGCUAUAACCGCAGAAUCCGACACAGAGUCUUCAGAGGCCUGACCUUGGGAAUGUAGGGUGUCUGACUGCACACACACCAACCAGCGGAGUGCAGGGGACUGUGCACAAACCGUCCAAGUCAAUAAAAGUAUGAAGUAAAGUGUUUGCA
rnacentral:lncRNA from 1 species